UUCUGACUUCAGCAGCACAUAUGCUAAAAUUGGAAUGAUACAGAGAAGAUUAGCAUGGCCUCUGUGCAAGGUUGACAUGCAAAUUCAUGAAGCAUUCCAUAUUUUU
rnacentral:snRNA from 1 species